CAAUGCACCGAAGACCGCGAGACAACGUUGUCGUCUCGCUCACUGAUCGCCCAUCUGUGAGCACGACACCGGCAUGAAACAGCCAGGGAUCAAACCCAUCAAACGACCGUUGGGGCAGUGUAACCGGCCGGGGUCGGUCGCGUAACUGUCGUUCGCCGCCGCUGCAAGCUUCGAAUGCGCGCCAUCCGGAGCGCACGGCCGUUGGCCCAGCCGCCUACGUGCCGUGUGCAAGCUUCGUCUGAUUGGUUGAACUGAGCGCCGCGACGUGUGCCCAUGCGAGCCGAGUCACUUUGGCGGGAGGAUUGUGUUGUGCUGGUGCUUGAUUGAUGACACUCUGGCCUACAUCGAUGGUGUGUUCCUUGGCGCACUUUUUGCGCAUGUACCACAGGCGGCCGUCUUCCUUCUUGCAAUUGGUGGUUCCAGGACGGACAACGGCGCAGCUAUUGCGGAGCCCGUACACGGGAGCAGCGAAGAUAUGCGCCGCGGUGGAUGACAGGCAACGUGUGCCGGUAACGCGUGCCUUAUAGCCUUGAAGAUGGGAGACCGCCGAGGAUCACCUGGCUCGGGGGGACUUCCUCAACAUUAGCGUCACCGUCAGCAUGUGGAGCAGCAGCAAAAUUUGGUCCACAAUAGCGACAAACGGCGCCAGACUAUACACGAGGGACAAGAAAUGGAAGCGUGGACGGUCACAAAGCG